rnacentral:rRNA from 1 species
CGAAUGCUGACAUAAGUAACGAUAAAGCGGGUGAAAAGCCCGCUCGCCGGAAGACCAAGGGUUCCUGUCCAACGUUAAUCGGGGCAGGGUGAGUCGACCCCUAAGGCGAGGCCGAAAGGCGUAGUCGAUGGGAAACAGGUUAAUAUUCCUGUACUUGGUGUUACUGCGAAGGGGGGACGGAGAAGGCUAUGUUGGCCGGGCGACGGUUGUCCCGGUUUAAGCGUGUAGGCUGGUUUUCCAGGCAAAUCCGGAAAAUCAAGGCUGAGGCGUGAUGACGAGGCACUACGGUGCUGAAGCAACAAAUGCCCUGCUUCCAGGAAAAGCCUCUAAGCAUCAGGUAACAUCAAAUCGUACCCCAAACCGACACAGGUGGUCAGGUAGAGAAUACCAAGGCGCUUGAGAGAACUCGGGUGAAGGAACUAGGCAAAAUGGUGCCGUAACUUCGGGAGAAGGCACGCUGAUAUGUAGGUGAAGUCCCUCGCGGAUGGAGCUGAAAUCAGUCGAAGAUACCAGCUGGCUGCAACUGUUUAUUAAAAACACAGCACUGUGCAAACACGAAAGUGGACGUAUACGGUGUGACGCCUGCCCGGUGCCGGAAGGUUAAUUGAUGGGGUUAGCGCAAG